AUCGCUUCUUGGCCUUUUGGCUAGGAUCAAGUGUAGUAUCUGUUCUUAUCAGUUUAAUAUCUGAUAUGUCCUCUAUCCGAGGACAAUAUAUUAAAUGGAUUUUUGGAAGUAGGAGUUGGAAUAGGAGCUUGCUCCGUCAACUCCAUUUAAAAAAAAAAACCUGUC
ensembl:snRNA U2 U2 spliceosomal RNA